GGGAGCUGAAGAGAAGAACCUUGCAGGGACUUCCAGUAGUGGACUGACAAAGAAAGAGCUGGUAACACUGAUCCUGAGAUUGUGGCCAUCCAGGAUAGGAGCAGGAUUGCUGUGUCCUGUGGGAAGAUUAUACCCCAUCACACCAGGUAUAUCCUGACAUUCCUGAAGAGACAGGAUACCCUUCCUUGCUGAAGUAGUUCCAGGCCUGACUCUCCAGAGAGCUAUCAGUUAUUACGUCAAGAGAAUACAGGUCCUUUGCAUUUUUGAUCUUCUUAAGUAGAGAUCUCAUUACCAGGAGAAAAUCUGUUUUUCACUUUGCUGCAAUGGAAAGGUAGAAGAUGAACUUCCAGCCAUCGGUUACUACCUCAUCUAGGGAAGACAGGUCCAUCUCACAUUUGAUGUUCUUUAAAUUGGAGACCUCAGUACUGGAGAAAAUCAGUUUCUCGCUUUUCUUCAAUGGAAAGGUAGAGGAUGAACUUUCUUGGUUUAGGAAAAUAAUUCUUAGGUUUGGUGUGUUUGUCAAGUGUGAGUG